rnacentral:rRNA from 1 species
AACGAACGCUGGCGGCAGGCCUAACACAUGCAAGUCGAGCGAACCGCAAGGUUAGCGGCGGACGGGUGAGUAACGCGUGGGAACGUGCCCUUCUCUACGGAAUAGCCUCGGGAAACUGAGAGUAAUACCGUAUACGCCCUUAGGGGGAAAGAUUUAUCGGAGAAGGAUCGGCCCGCGUUGGAUUAGGUAGUUGGUGGGGUAAUGGCCUACCAAGCCGACGAUCCAUAGCUGGUUUGAGAGGAUGAUCAGCCACACUGGGACUGAGACACGGCCCAGACUCCUACGGGAGGCAGCAGUGGGGAAUCUUAGACAAUGGGGGAAACCCUGAUCUAGCCAUGCCGCGUGAGCGAUGAAGGCCUUAGGGUUGUAAAGCUCUUUCGCUGGGGAAGAUAAUGACGGUACCCAGUAAAGAAGCCCCGGCUAACUCCGUGCCAGCAGCCGCGGUAA